AUGAGGUGACUGAAUCGGAAAAAAAAAAAAAAAACCUUAAAUUUGGUGAAAGAACUAGAUGCCUUUCCAAAGGUUCCCGAAAGCUAUGUAGAGACCUCAGCCAGUGGGGGCACAGUUUCUCUGAUAGCAUUUACUACUAUGGCUUUACUAACAAUAAUGGAAUUCUCAGUAUAUCAAGAUACAUGGAUGAAAUAUGAAUAUGAAGUAGACAAAGAUUUUUCUAGUAAAUUGAGAAUCAAUAUAGAUAUUACUGUUGCCAUGAAGUGCCAGUAUGUUGGAGCAGAUGUAUUGGAUUUAGCAGAAACAAUGGUUGCUUCUGCAGAUGGUCUUAUUUAUGAACCAGUAAUAUUUGAACUUUCACCAGAGCAAAAAGAGUGGCAGAGGAUGCUACAGCUGAUUCAGAGCAGGCUACAAGAAGAGUAUUCUCUUUAGGAUGUGAUAUUCAAACUUGCUUUCAAAAGCUCAUCCACUGCACUUCCACCCAGGGAAGACGACUUGUCGCAGUCUCCAGACCCAUGCAGAAUACGCGGCCAUCUCAACGUUAAUAAAGUAGCAGGGAAUUUUCACAUAACUGUGGGCAAGGCAAUUCCACAUCCUCGAGGACAGGCGCACUUGGCAGCACUGGUCAACCAUGACUCCUACGACUUUUCUCACAGACUAGAUCACCUGUCUUUUGGAGAGGUUGUUUCAGGAAUCAUUAAUCCUCUGGAUGGAACUGAAAAAAUUGCUGUAGAUCACAACCAGAUGUUCCAAUAUUUUAUUACAGUUGUGCCAACAAAACUCCAGACAUAUAAAAUUUCAGCAGAAACACAUCAGUUUUCUGUCACAGAAAGGGAGCGUAUCAUCAACCAUGCUGUGGGCAGCCAUGGAGUUUCUGGAAUCUUCAUGAAAUACGAUCUCAGCUCUCUCAUGGUGACUGUCACUGAGGCGCAUAUGCCAUUCUGGCAGUUUUUUGUAAGACUCUGCGGUAUUGUUGGAGGAAUCUUCUCAACAACAGGCAUGUUACAUGGAAUGGAAAAUUUAUAGUGGAGAUAAUUUGCUGUCGUUUCAGUCUUGGAUCCUGUAAAGCUGUCCAUUCGGUUCCCUUUGAGGAUGACCACACAGACAACCACUUACCUCUUUUAGAAAAUAAUAUGCAUUAGCACCUCCCGAGGGGA